UACGUAGGGGGCUAGCGUUGUCCGGAAUCAUUGGGCGUAAAGAGCGUGUAGGCGGUCCGGUAAGUCCGCUGUGAAAGUCCAGGGCUCAACCCUGGAAUGCCGGUGGAUACUGUCGGGCUCGAAUCCGGAAGAGGUGAGUGGAAUUCCUGGUGUAGCGGGUGAAAUGCGCAGAUAUCAGGAGGAACACCAAUGGCGAAGGC
rnacentral:rRNA from 1 species